UACGGGGGGGGCAAGCGUUGUUCGGAAUUACUGGGCGUAAAGGGCUCGUAGGCGGCCAUCUAAGUCGGACGUGAAAUCCCUCGGCUUAACCGGGGAACUGCGUCCGAUACUGCCUGACUUGAGUCCGGAAGGGGCGAGUGGAAUUCCUGGUGUAGCGGUGAAAUGCGCAGAUAUCAGGAGGAACACCAAUGGCGAAGGCAGCUCGCUGGAACGGUACUGACGCUGAGGCGCGAAAGCGUGGGGAGCGAACAGG
rnacentral:rRNA from 1 species